UGGCUCAGGACGAACGCUGGCGGCGGGCUUAACACAUGCAAGUCGAACGAGGUCCAUCUUGUAGCAAUACAAGUGAAGACCUAGUGGCGAACGGGUGAGGAACACGUGAGAAAUUUGCCCCGAACUUUGGGAUAACAGUUGGAAACGACUGCUAAUACCGAAUGCCGUUACGAAGUGGCAUCACUUCGUAACGAAAGAAUUUCGGUUCGGGAGAAUCUCGCGGCCUAUCAGCUUGUUGGUGAGGUAACGGCUCACCAAGGCUACGACGGGUAGCUGGUCUGAGAGGAUGAUCAGCCACACUGGGACUGAGACACGGCCCAGACUCCUACGGGAGGCAGCAGUGGGGAAUCUUGUGCAAUGGACGAAAGUCUGACACAGCCACGCCGCGUGCGGGAAGAAGGCCUUCGGGUUGUAAACCGCUUUCAGCAGGAACGAAAAUGACGGUACCUGCAGAAGAAGGAGCGGCCAACUACGUGCCAGCAGCCGCGGUGACACGUAGGCUCCAAGCGUUGUCCGGAUUUAUUGGGCGUAAAGAGCUCGUAGGCGGUUCAGCAAGUCGGGUGUGAAAACUCUGGGCUCAACCCAGAGCCUGCACCCGAAACUGCUGUGACUAGAGUUCGGUAGGGGAGUGGGGAAUUCCUAGUGUAGCGGUGAAAAUGCGCNAAUAUUANGAGGAACACCGAUGGCGAANGCACCACUCUGGGCCGAAACUGACGCUGAGGAGCGAAAGCGUGGGUAGCAACAGGAUUAGAUACCCCUGGUAGUCCACGCCGUAACUGAUGGGCACUAGGUGUCGGGUCUCUAACC
rnacentral:rRNA from 1 species